AACGAACGCUGGCGGCAUGCCUAACACAUGCAAGUCGAACGAGACCUUCGGGUCUAGUGGCGCACGGGUGCGUAACGCGUGGGAACCUGCCCUUAGGUUCGGAAUAACUCCCCGAAAGGGGUGCUAAUACCGGAAAAUGUCUUCGGACCAAAGAUUUAUCGCCUUUGGAUGGGCCCGCGUUGGAUUAGCUAGUUGGUAGGGUAAAAGCCUACCAAGGCGACGAUCCAUAGCUGGUCUGAGAGGAUGAUCAGCCACACUGGGACUGAGACACGGCCCAGACUCCUACGGGAGGCAGCAGUGGGGAAUAUUGGACAAUGGGCGAAAGCCUGAUCCAGCAAUGCCGCGUGAGUGAUGAAGGCCUUAGGGUUGUAAAGCUCUUUUACCCGGGAUGAUAAUGACAGUACCGGGAGAAUAAGCUCCGGCUAACUCCGUG
rnacentral:rRNA from 1 species